rnacentral:misc_RNA from 1 species
UGCAGAUUCCGUGAAUCAUCAGAAUCUUUAGAACGCACAUUGCGCCCGCCAGUAUUCUGGCGGGCAUGCCUGUUCGAGCGUCAUUUCAACCCUCAAGCCCCCGGGCUUGGUGUUGGGGCUCGGCCCGUCCCUCGUGGCGCGCCGUCCCCAAAAUCCAGUGGCGGUCACGCUGUACUCCUCUGCGUAGUAAUCCAACCUCGCAACGGGACAAAGCCUGGCCACGGCGUUAUUCCCCCACUUCUGAAUUUUAACCUGAAAUGAUAUUUU